UAAUAUUUGUUAUAAAAUAAAUAUCUUAAAUACACUUUAAAAUAACAACAUCUGUAGUUGAAUACAAACUAUUUUUAAAAAAGUAUCUUUUACAAGUCAAGCCUAUAUUAUUUAUUAUUAUUAUUACAACCAACGGCGAAAAACGCAAUGUUAUUACAAAAAGCUUUUUCUUUUUCUUGAGAUCCAAUCGCUAACGCGAACAAGACAACUAUAUACACACAGCUGUCGGAUUUUAACGAACAAAUUUUCUCCCGUAUAGCAGACAGAUAAUCUAAUCGAAUAGAACGACUUGCGACGACGGUUUUGACUUACUCGUACAUAUUAUGUACACAUAACCAACUAAAACACGUGCUUGUCGUCGUCACCGUGUAGAAUCGAAAAUAGACACGGCGGAUGAAGGGAUUUUCUGGCAGCAGCGUGAGAGGUGAGUGGUAUUGUAUAUAUACGAGUCCCCCAGAUAGCAUUAAAUCAUUCUGCACACGAAAGAAAACCCGUCGUUCGAUAUGCUACACCAUAGUGACGAGCAGAAGGGCUCAAAUUUGACGCAGCUGCGUCAACAUUUUAAGAGGCCGUGGGUGGUGGGUUGGCUUGGAUAGUUGGAAUGUUAUUUUGACACCUAUUCACUUAAUAUUAACAGUAUGAGUAUUUAGUAUUUUAAUAUUAAGGUAAUUAUCAACUAUCACAAUAGUCAUCAAACAUGUGCAAUUUUACCAUAUACAUAUCAACUAUAAUAUAUAGUACAGUGGUUUUCAACAUUUUCGGGUUCACGGCUCUUCUGAUUUUGAAAUCAAAAUUAGCGGCUCCCUUACAAAUAAUGAUAAUAGUAUAAAAAUUAAUUUACUGUAUUACUGUACUAUAUUUACUAUGUACACAGUUCCCUCGCUACUAAACCACGACGCCUUUUUGAGCCGCAACGCAUAGGUUGAAAACCACUAAUAUAGUGUAUUUGUUAAAAUUUGAAGAAAAAACAUGUUUAAUGUGGCUAAUCUACCUACUGGUACCUAUACAUUUUUGUAUCCAUAUUACCAAGAUAUACCAAUAAACCAACAAAAUAAUAAUUUGAUGCGUUUU